rnacentral:lncRNA from 1 species
GUUCAUCACCUGCACAAAGGCUCCCCUCAUGUCGCAGAUGUAGCGGUAGAGCUCACCAUUGCGGACACGGUUCAUCUGAGCGGAGAUCCAGCGGAUGUGGCCAUUCAAAUUGUACUGCUUGAUCAGAUCAAACAUCUUCUUGAACUCAGCCUGCUCUUCUUUGUCCUUGGAUUCCUUGCCAUGGUCACCACAGACAACCACAAGGCGAGGGUUCCGACCAUACAACUCAACCAGACCAGUCAAAUUCUUGACAUGGUCUAG